GGCACAGUGGCUUAGUGGUUAGUACAUUUGCAUCGCACCUCUGCGGUUGGGGGUUCGAUUCCCGCCUCCGCCU